rnacentral:sRNA from 1 species
GAAAUGUUCUUCUUCAAACGACGCUUGUGG